rnacentral:rRNA from 1 species
UGGGGAAUAUUGCACAAUGGGCGCAAGCCUGAUGCAGCCAUGCCGCGUGUGUGAAGAAGGCCUUCGGGUUGUAAAGCACUUUCAGCGGGGAGGAAGGCGUUAAGGUUAAUAACCUUGGCGAUUGACGUUACCCGCAGAAGAAGCACCGGCUAACUCCGUGCCAGCAGCUGCGGUAAUACGGAGGGUGCAAGCGUUAAUCGGAAUUACUGGGCGUAAAGCGCACGCAGGCGGUCUGUCAAGUCGGAUGUGAAAUCCCCGGGCUCAACCUGGGAACUGCAUUCGAAACUGGCAGGCUAGAGUCUUGUAGAGGGGGGUAGAAUUCCAGGUGUAGCGGUGAAAUGCGUAGAGAUCUGGAGGAAUACCGGUGGCGAAGGCGGCCCCCUGGACAAAGACUGACGCUCAGGUGCGAAAGCGUGGGGAGCAAACAGG